rnacentral:rRNA from 1 species
UUUUAUGAGAGUUUGAUCCUGGCUCAGGACGAACGCUGGCGGCGUGCCUAAUACAUGCAAGUCGAACGCUUCUUUUUCCACCGGAGCUUGCUCCACCGGAAAAAGAGGAGUGGCGAACGGGUGAGUAACACGUGGGUAACCUGCCCAUCAGAAGGGGAUAACACUUGGAAACAGGUGCUAAUACCGUAUAACAAUCGAAACCGCAUGGUUUUGAUUUGAAAGGCGCUUUCGGGUGUCGCUGAUGGAUGGACCCGCGGUGCAUUAGCUAGUUGGUGAGGUAACGGCUCACCAAGGCCACGAUGCAUAGCCGACCUGAGAGGGUGAUCGGCCACAUUG